AGCUUGUAUCGUGAUUCGUGACGUAAGGUUACUUAUAUAUACCGGUUCAGCCUGCCUGUCCACAGUUUGUUCGAGCUCUCUAACCAAUUGGCUGCUUUUCGGAGUGUCGUUUUAACAUUACCUACCAAAAUUUAUGUGUCAAUGACAAAAUUGAAAAGAAAAUUUGCGAUCACCGACAAAUUUCUCCCAAGGCUCCAGAAAAACUUAUGCACUAGAAAAGGGAGCCGCAGAGCUAACACGGGCAACCGUCUCGAGCACGCCGUCUUAACCCACAUCCAGCACGUACCAUAGACAACUGGUCUUCCGUCUCUCUCCCUCAUCAUCCAUCCCUCUCAUAACGGUCAAGAUGGCUCGUGGUGAUGAAUGCAAAACAGCGACCAAGGCCACCAUCGCCUGCAAGCAGUUCGAUGUGGCCGCGCCUAUGAA